UCAUCUCCGGGGGUAGAGCACUGUUUCGGCAAGGGGGUCAUCCCGACUUACCAACCCGAUGCAAACUGCGAAUACCGGAGAAUGUUAUCACGGGAGACACACGGCGGGUGCUAACGUCCGUCGUGAAGAGGGAAACAACCCAGACCGCCAGCUAAGGUCCCAAAGUCAUGGUUAAGUGGGAAACGAUGUGGGAAGGCCCAGACAGCCAGGAUGUUGGCUUAGAAGCAGCCAUCAUUUAAAGAAAGCGUAAUAGCUCACUGGUCGAGUCGGCCUGCGCGGAAGAUGUAACGGGGCUAAACCAUGCACCGAAGCUGCGGCAGCGAC
rnacentral:rRNA from 1 species